rnacentral:lncRNA from 1 species
GGGCGCGGGGCGCGGCGCUGGGGGCGCGGGGCCCGGAGCCCGGAGCGCGGAGCCCGGAGCGAGGAGCGCGGAGCCCGGGGCCCGGGGCGCGGAGCCCGGGGCCCGGGGCCCGGAGCCCGGAGCCCGGAGCGCGGAGCCCGGAGCCGCGAGCCCGGAGCCGGGGCCCGGGGCCCAGAGCCCGGAGCCCGGAGCGCGGAGCGCGGAGCCCGGAUCCGGGAUCCCGGAGCCCGGAGCCCGGAGCCCGGAGCGCGGGGCCCGGAGCCGGCGGCUCUCAGCCCGGAUGCACAGGAAAUCGCGCGUUUUCACAAAGCUGUGGCCCCCUCUUCAGAGCUCUGGGCAUUAGACGAGGCCACGCAGGUCUGGCACGCAGGUCCUGUUCCGAGAGUGCGUUACAGUCUGUGAGUGCGGGACAGCAGUGCCUCCCGCCUCCCGCCUCCAGGCGCGCGAUGCAUCGGUCAGCGGUCGGCCCAGUGCAGCACUUAGGGUCCGGGCACCCUGCUCCAGGCCUCCGCACCCUGCCUCGCCUCCCGCACACAGGUGCCCAGCUGACCCCGGCUGCACCCUGCCUCGCCUUCCUCCAAGCCUCCAGCCUGGUAAUUCCAGCCGAUUUUCUCUAACUGCCCGGAUAUGUGUACAAAAGAUCAGCCCGGCCGACACAAACUGUCUCUGCCUCCUUAACCCGAUGGAGCUGCCUUCCAUUUGUGAUUUCCGAGAACACAGCUGCAGACGCCGAAACCAAAGCCGGCCACCGGAGGGUCUGGGGGCACGGUGCCAGCAGUUAGCCCCCUCCCCUGCCAUCAAGGACCUGAACUCCGCGUGUUUUUUCUUUCCCCUGAAGUUGAACUCAACUUUCCGCCGCAAAGUUCAUUUCAUGCUGGCAGUGCUUGUAUUGAGCUUUCAGACGUUUCAGACAGGCCAUCGAAGCCUGGUCACGCAAGCGAAGAACCAGAGCUCCCUCAGGGCCGCGCACUACUGGUGCUGGCGGUGGAUCCCACGGUGCCCCGGGCGCCAGGAAGAGGGGGUUAGAGCAGGAGGAAGGCUGUGCUGGCCCCCAAGGCCUCAGCGCCAGAAGCUGCCCCUGGCUGGGCAUCGUGAUGGGAUGAACUCUGAUGGGUGAGCCCCAGACAGCACUUUGCCGGGGCCUCGAGUUACUGUCAGUGGCACCUCGGAUUGGCUUCCUGAGGGCAGGAGCCGUGUUCUCCUCCGGGAAUGCUGGGCCUGGCCCCGAGGGCAGGGACACAGAGCACCCACGUGAAGAGCUGGUGGGGGAGCGCGCGCAGGAAGACCACGCAGCCGGCCCUCUGCGCUGCCAUGAAAAUGAAGGGAAAUGAAAGGGGAACUUCUCGUUUUUUCUGGUUAGCUCAACACACAUUAAUGCCAAUGCAUUCUGUCGGAUACUUUACAGGAGAAAUCUGCAUCGUGGGGCUACUGGUCAGGCCACCCCCCCCCCCAUCUUUUACCUGAGUCCUGAGCAACCUGUUUUGCAUGAAGGUUAAUUUAGGAAGUAAGAAUAAACUGGGGUGAGGCUCU